AUGCCCGUGACCUCCGCAAUCAGCGCUCGAGCCUGACACGUCGCCCGCACCCACCACCCUCCUCCACAUCAUCCCACCUCACACGCACGCAGCCGCCGUGCCGUGCCCGUGCGUGCCGGCUACUCACUUCCACAUUCCACGCCAGAAAUCCCCCAACUCGCGACUGACUCACUCUCCUCGCCCAGCCCCAGCCUCAGCCCCCGGCGCCGACGCCUACGGAUCCCGAUCUGCUUCCCCCUUGACGAGCGGCGCGCGGUUGGUUGAGUGCGGCAUGGAGGGGUGGCCGUGUGCGGAGGGAGGUGCGCCCGCGAGGGGAGAGGAGGAGGAGGAGGAGGACCAGUUCGACCGGCUGCCCGACGAGGUGCUCCUGGACGUCUUCAACCGCAUCGGCGACGUCAAGGCGCUCGGCCGGUGCGCCCUCGUGUCCCGCCGCUUCCACGAGCUCGUCCCGCUCGUCGACUCCGUCUUCGUGCGCGUCGACUGCGUCAUACCCGACGAGCCGCCGUCCUCGUCGGCCAGCUCCCCGCAGGCCGCCGCGGCGGCCCCUGGGCGGGGGCGGGGCGCGCUCGCCCACCUCGCGCGCCUCGUGCUCGGCGGCAUCGUCAGGCCCAUCCAGGCGCUCGGGCAGAUCCUCUCCCCCACCCUGGCGAUCGUCUCCCGCCGCCCCGUGGCCCCGCCCGCCUUGCCGCCUCCGCCCGCUGGGGACAUCUCCCACCACUCGCCCUCCGAGGUCCUCCGCUCCUUCAAGGAGCUUCGCCGCCUCGGCAUCGAGUUGCCCACCGGCGAGCUCGGCAUCGAUGACGGCGUCCUCCUCAAGUGGAAGGCCGACUUCGGGUCCACCCUCGGCAGCUGCGUCAUCUUCGGCGCAUCGUCUGUCUCGUCAAAGCCGCCGCCAACGCCGUCCCCUACUGCCGUGGACAGCUCGGCUACCUCUCCCGAUUCGACUAGGGACCCUGAAGAUUUGGCAAGCAUCCCUGAGUCACUUCAUACGAAUGGGGGACUUAAGCUCCGUGUUGUUUGGACGAUCAGCUCACUGAUUGCUGCAUCCGCACGGCAUUACUUGCUGCAGCCAAUCAUCGCAGAUCAUGAUACACUUGAUAGCUUGAACCUGACGGACGCUGAUGGGCAGGGAGUACUCACUAUGAACAAGAAACAGCUGCAGGAGUUGCGAGUGCGACCUGUGUUGCCUUCUGGGAACUCACAUCGCACACUCAUGCCGGCGCUCAUUAUGCGACUGUGGUACGCUCCGCACCUUGAGCUUCCUGGGGGAGUACUGCUGAAGGGUGCGACACUGGUGGCAAUCAGACCUAGUGAUGAUGUACUGAGGGAAGGGGGAGGGUUUGAGGCUGCUGGUCCGGCAGGUGCUAGCUGGAUCUCAGAUGCUUUUGAGGAGCCAUAUCGAACGGCAGCGAAGGUGCUUUUCAAGCGCAGGACAUACAGCCUUGAAAUGAACUCGUUCUGAGCUUCAGAGUUUUACCUUCUUCCAGCUUUGGCUUGUUAUGCACUGAGCUGGCACAUCGUUUGCCCCUUUUGAAAUGGUAAAUGGAGACAUAUGUGAGUUCUUUUUGAAGCUCUUGUUGAAGUGAUCUCCAAUCCAGCUAUUCUGAUGGGAUGAUGGGAUGCCCUUCAGGCGUAUGGAGUAUCUUGGAGUAUGGUGGACCUAACUCAUAUUCAGUGUAUACACCCUGUUUAUGUUGGGCUUAGCGAAGUGGACUGGAAUCCUGAAGUGAAGCCAUGAUAUGUUGCAUGAAUGAGGUUGUUGCUGCACUUCUAUGACUGAACACCCAUCGGUUAGAUUUAUUAGCGUCAUUUUUUCUUGUGUUUCGCCAUGUUAUUCUGCAAGCUCUAUACUAAAUGUAGGCUAAAACAUGCUGUCAUUUCCAGAAACAUUUGAGCUAUGCAAAUGUGACCUAAAAGGUUGAACCUUUAUGUGUAUCAGACUAGUAAGUUCUCUAGACUGUUCUUUUACUACUCCCUCUAUCCUAUAUUAAGUGACGAAAUAUUACAUAUAUAUAUAUAGACGUUUUUUGGGUAUA